UACGGGGGGAGCAAGCGUUGUUCGGAUUUACUGGGCGUAAAGGGCGCGUAGGCGGUCAGCACAAGUCAGUUGUGAAAUCUCCGGGCUUAACUCGGAAAGGUCAACUGAUACUGUGCGACUAGAGUGCGGAAGGGGCAACUGGAAUUCUCGGUGUAGCGGUGAAAUGCGUAGAUAUCGAGAGGAACACCUGCGGCGAAGGCGGGUUGCUGGGCCGACACGUGACGCUGAUGCGCGAAAGCCAGGGGAGCGAAGCGGG
rnacentral:rRNA from 1 species